GUUCGGAUCGCGGCGACGUGAGCGGUUCGCUGCUCGCGACGUCGCGAGAAGUCCACUGAACCUUAUCAUUUAGAGGAAGGAGAAGUCG
rnacentral:rRNA from 1 species